GGGGUUGAUAUGGUUUCGACUUCGUACAUUGAGCCAGGGGAAGCGUGCCGGUGCAGGCUAGAGACCACCGUUUAAGCGUCGUAGCAACCAAUAAACGCAGAGAAGAACUCUCAGCGUGACUUCGCCCUCGCUGCCUAAUUACAGCGACGCGAGUCUGUCAGCCCGGGUUUAGUUCCUGACCCGGAUCCUGGCAUCGACUAAGGAACUUGCUCCGCCGGCGUGUCGUUCGGUCGGCGGGGGACUUUCAGAGCGACUGGGCCCAUCAUCCGGAACGAGUUUGCCCGAGCCGGAGGGCCGAGUAGAGAUCCUGUGCGAACUGCGCACGGAGAAGCCCUGGCGAGGUGACGAAGGACCCGGGUUCAAUUCCCGGCAGCUCCACCA
rnacentral:tmRNA from 1 species